UACGGGGGGGGCUAGCGUUGUUCGGAAUUACUGGGCGUAAAGGGCGCGUAGGCGGCCUACUAAGUCGGACGUGAAAUCCCUCGGCUCAACCGGGGAACUGCGUCCGAUACUGGUGGGCUCGAAUCCGGGAGAGGGAUGUGGAAUUCCAGGUGUAGCGGUGAAAUUCGUAGAUAUUCGCAAGAACACCAGUGGCGAAGGCGGCUCACUGGCCCGGUACUGACGCUGAGGUGCGAAAGCGUGGGGAGCAAACAGG
rnacentral:rRNA from 1 species